GAGUUUGAUCCUGGUUCAGGAUGAACGCUGGCGGCGUGCCUAACACAUGCAAGUCGAGCGAGAUUUAUGUGAGUGGAGACUUCGGUCAAAGCAAUCAUAAUGAAAGCGGCGGACGGGUGAGUAACGCGUGAGCAAUCUGCCCCAUACAAAGGGAUACCCACUGGAAACGGUGAUUAAUACCUUAUGAGACCACAAUGCCGCAUGGCAUAGGGGUCAAAGAUUUAUCGGUAUGGGAUGAGCUCGCGUCUGAUUAGCUAGUUGGUGAGGUAAUGGCUCACCAAGGCGACGAUCAGUAGCCGACCUGAGAGGGUGAACGGCCACACUGGAACUGAGACACGGUCCAGACUCCUACGGGAGGCAGCAGUGGGGAAUAUUGCACAAUGGGCGCAAGCCUGAUGCAGCAACGCCGCGUGAAUGAUGAAGGCCUUCGGGUCGUAAAGUUCUGUCCAAAGGGAAGAAUACAGUGGCGGUACCUUUGGAGGAAGCCCCGGCUAACUACGUGCCAGCAGCCGCGGUAAUACGUAGGGGGCAAGCGUUAUCCGGAAUCACUGGGCGUAAAGGGAGCGUAGGCGGUUUGACAAGCCAGAGGUGAAAGGCAAUAGCUUAACUAUUGUAAGCCUUUGGAACUGUCGAACUUGAGUGCAGGAGAGGAAAGUGGAAUUCCUAGUGUAGCGGUGAAAUGCGUAGAUAUUAGGAGGAACACCAGUGGCGAAGGCGACUUUCUGGACUGUAACUGACGCUGAG
rnacentral:rRNA from 1 species